CAACUUGAGAGUUUGAUCCUGGCUCAGAACGAACGCUGGCGGCAGGCUUAACACAUGCAAGUCGAACGAAGGCUUCGGCCUUAGUGGCGCACGGGUGAGUAACACGUGGGAAUAUACCUCUCGGUGGGGAAUAACGUCGGGAAACUGACGCUAAUACCGCAUACGCCCUUAGGGGGAAAGAUUUAUCGCCGAGAGAUUAGCCCGCGUCCGAUUAGCUAGUUGGUGAGGUAAAAGCUCA
rnacentral:ncRNA from 1 species